CCCGAGUGUCCCUCAGACGGUACCCAGUGCUUCGGGGAUCUCGCCGAGAGCGGUUCCUGAAAGUCUGAGGCUCGAGGUCCCAGAAGGAAGCGCCUGGAGCGCGUCUGUGGUUCGCAAGGUGCAGGGCCCCAAGGUUUUGGGCCAUCUUCGACUGCUUUCCCAGGCUAUAAACAGGGAAUUGGAUGGAAAUUGGAGCAUCUGGAACACAAAUCAGUAACAUGUGGGAUGCUUGUGCCUGGAGGUGGAGUAUUGGCCUGCUGAGGAAAUGAAUCAUCUCAGCCUGUUGUAAACAGCCCUGUGCCCUUAACCACAGCAGGGUCUCUCCAGGCGACCUCCGUGGCUCCCUUCAGGAGUAAAGUUCCUGCCCGCUGCUCUGGGCCUGGUGGCUCCUCCUGCUGCAGCCAGGAGGUGAUGGAAAAGGACACGCACACAGCCUUCCAUAUAACUGUCAUCUCUCUCUGCCCACCUGCCCCCAAGCUGAUUAGAGGGGUCUGGGGAGUAAGGGGACUGCAGGGUUUCCUGUGCCAUCUCAAUGACCCUGCUAGGGGGAACUCAAACUCCUCAUUUUACGGACAGGGAGUCCAAGGCUCAGAGAGGUGUGGGAGUUUGUUGAAGGACAAAGAGCAAGGAGGUGACAGCCAGCCUUCAUAUGCUGACACUGUGGAUUUGUUGUAGUAUGUUUGACACGAAAACAUGGCAGCAACCUCAUUUUUGUCUUACACGAAAGAAUUUUCAUGUGAACAAGAUUUAU